rnacentral:rRNA from 1 species
UACGAAGGGGGCUAGCGUUGUUCGGAAUUACUGGGCGUAAAGGGCGCGUAGGCGGUACUUCAAGUCAGGCGUGAAAGCCCCAGGCUCAACCUGGGAACCGCGCUUGAGACUGGAGAACUAGAGUUCGGGAGAGGAUGGUGGAAUUCCCAGUGUAGAGGUGAAAUUCGUAGAUAUUGGGAAGAACACCGAUGGCGAAGGCAGCCAUCUGGACCGACACUGACGCUGAGGCGCGAAAGCGUGGGGAGCAAACAGG